GACAGAGGGUGCAAACGUUGUUCGGAAUUACUGGGCGUAAAGCGUGUGUAGGCGGCCAUAUAAGUCGGAUGUGAAAGCCCUGGGCUCAACCCAGGAAGUGCACUCGAUACUGUAUGGCUUGAGUACUGGAGAGGAUGGCGGAAUUCCUAGUGUAGAGGUGAAAUUCGUAGAUAUUAGGAAGAACACCGGUGGCGAAGGCGGCCAUCUGGCUCGGUACUGACGCUCAGGCGCGAAAGCGUGGGGAGCAAACAGG
rnacentral:rRNA from 1 species